GGUUCCGUAGUGUAGUGGUUAUCACGUUCGCUUUACACGCGAAAGGAUCCCGGCUCGAUCCCGGGCGGAACCA